CGUGGGUAACCUGCCCAAGAGAUCGGGAUAACACCUGGAAACAGAUGCUAAUACCGGAUAACAACAGAUGAUGCCUAUCAACUGUUUAAAAGAUGGUUCUGCUAUCACUCUUGGAUGGACCUGUGGUGCAUUAGCUAGUUGGUAGGGUAACGGCCUACCAAGGCGAUGAUGCAUAGCCGAGUUGAGAGACUGAUCGGCCACAUUGGGACUGAGACACGGCCCAAACUCCUACGGGAGGCAGCAGCC
rnacentral:rRNA from 1 species